rnacentral:lncRNA from 1 species
UGUAUAUGUUAAUAUAUUUUUCUGCAAGCUUGUUGAAAGAAUAUAAAGUUUGAUUUUAGACAAACCUAAUAUGCGGAGUAAAUAAAAACGGAGUAGCAACUAGAUACUAUAUGUUGGCUACUAGAUUGACUAUAUGUGAUGUGCACAACUUUAUAUAGCGAGUUGCUGGCUAUACUAUUAACAAUACUCUAAUAACUUCAAGAUGAAGACAUUAUUUAUAGAAAUAGAUCGCACAAUAUUAGACUCUUAGUUGUCCCUCAAUCCACGGGUUGUGAUGGACACUGAAGAGUCUUCGGGGCGGUUCCUCUCUCUAGAUCUGGUGGCUGAUAGCUCAUAUUUGUGUGGUUGCGGGAUGUAGUCGAAAAAAAUCUUUUCUGACUUUUGAUGGGUCUCACUUCAACUAGUUC